AUGUCUACCUGGUAAGAGAGAUACCAUGAUCGAGGCGUUAGUUUUUAAGGGCCACGCUACUGCACUUUUGCUGUGCCUGUCCCUGUGGCUUCUCCAAAUGUGGAAGAUACAACUGCACAAUUUAUAACAAUGGAGGAUAUUAUCUGUA
rnacentral:snRNA from 14 species